rnacentral:misc_RNA from 1 species
CCAAAAGCUAGCUCAAGGGGGGAGGAUUGCUGAAAUAUUUAUAAGAGGCACAUUACUCACAUUACCUAACUGAUGUGGGAUACCUAACAACAUCAAAGUUUACAGUUAUAUACCAUUUGAUUACUAGUUCUAGUAGCAAUACCAUCCGGUUCGAAUUCAUGAAUCAUAAUCAAAUGAGGUGUGCAGCAUAUAGAAUAUUGAGGUCUUAGG